rnacentral:lncRNA from 1 species
AUGUUUGCCCCUUUGAGAGAAUCAAGAAGAGUAGUACUUGGUGGAGAGAUGGAUUCGGCCUUGGCAACAGAGGGAUCAAAUGUAUAUGAUAGAAGGUGAGAAGGGAGUGAGUCAUGGGAAUAAGGCCAAACUUUCAUUCGCAUAUUUUUCUGCACUGUUACAAUUUUGCACUUUAUGUUUAGAAUAUUCACUUAAGGUAGUUACUAGUUUCACCUAAAGUAUAGGUCUUAAUUGAUCCUUUUAUUCAUUUUUUUCUCAGCACAAGGUUCUUAGAGUUUCAGUUAGUAAAAUCAUUAUCAUUUCUGCAACUCUUAGAGGUCU